AGAGUUUGAUCCUGGCUCAGAAUCAACGCUGGCGGCGCGCUUAACACAUGCAAGUCGAGCGAGAAAGUGGAGCAAUCCAUGAGUAAAGCGGCGUACGGGUGAGUAACACGUGGAUCAUCUACCUUUUAGUGGGGAAUAACCCUGGGAAACCGGGGCUAAUACCGCAUAAUCCUGUGAAGGGAAAGCAGCAAUGCGCUGAAAGAGGAGUCCGCGGCCGAUUAGCUAGUUGGUGAGGUAACGGCUCACCAAGGCGGUGAUCGGUAGCCGGCCUGAGAGGGCACACGGCCACACUGGCACUGAAACACGGGCCAGACUCCUACGGGAGGCAGCAGUGGGGAAUCUUGCACAAUGGAGGCAACUCUGAUGCAGCGACGCCGCGUGAGCGAUGAAGCCCCUCGGGGUGUAAAGCUCUUUCGGCAGGGACGAUAAUGACGGUACCUGAAGAAGAAGCUGCGGCUAACUACGUGCCAGCAGCCGCGGUAAUACGUAGGCAGCGAGCGUUGUUCGGAAUUACUGGGCGUAAAGGGUGUGUAGGCGGUGCUCUAAGUUCGGUGUGAAAUCUCCUGGCUUAACUGGGAGGGUGCGCCGGAAACUGGAGUGCUCGAACGUGGGAGAGGAAAGCGGAAUUCCUGGUGUAGCGGUGAAAUGCGUAGAUAUCAGGAGGAACACCUGCGGUGUAGACGGCUUUCUGGACCAUUGUUGACGCUGAGACACGAAAGCGUGGGUAGCAAACAGGAUUAGAUACCCCGGUAGUCC
rnacentral:rRNA from 1 species